rnacentral:piRNA from 1 species
UACUUGAAUUUUAGGGGCCAAAAUGAUGUG